rnacentral:lncRNA from 1 species
GUUGAAAUGAUUUUUUUUUUUUUUAAACUGUUGAUUAUUAUAUAAAUAUUGUAUAACUGAAUAAAUAUUGCAAAAUCAAGUUUGGUGUAGUGGUUUGUGAGUCAUCCUUCCUCCUUUAAGGGUCAAGGUUUGAGUCCCUUCAAUGACACAAAAUCUUUUUUUUUUAAAGGUGAAUAAAAAGCAACGGAUUUGGUCCCCUACAGGCGAUGGUGAACGGCGAUGGUGACCUGCGGUGAUGGCCGGCGACGGGUGGCCGGUGGCAGGUGCCCUGCUGUGGUGGCCGGCGACGGGUGACCAGCGGUGAUGACCGGCGACGAUGGCCGGUGGUGGUGGUCUGUGGUGGUGACUAGAUAUGGACAUAUGGCAUAGUAUGCUUGCCUUAGAAGGAGUGGCAUUAUGUGUAAUUUUGAUAUUUUUUUAAUGAUAUUUUUAUAAAAUUAGGUACUAUAUUUGGUCUUUGGUCUUAUGCUAAUUAGAUGAAAUUGUAUUCCUGUCUUCCAAAUUAGUAAACUAUAUUAUGUUUUAAAAC